rnacentral:rRNA from 1 species
UAUGGAUCUCAGUUUGGGUUGGACUACCCGCUGAAUUUAAGCAUAUAAUUAAGCGGAGGAAAAGAAACUAACAAGGAUUCCCCUAGUAACGGCGAGUGAAGCGGGAUGAGCUCACCAUGUGAAUCUGCGCAACCAGCAAUGGUGCGCCGAAUUGUGGUCUGAAGAAGUAUUGUCGGCCGCGGAUCUGGGUUAAGUGCAUUGGAAUAUGUCGCAUGUUAUGGUUAAAGCCCAGUUCAUGCCUAGAUUUGUUGUGCUUUGGCACAUGCUUUCUACGAGUCGAGUUGCUUGGGAUUGCAGCUCAAAUUUGGUGGUAAAUUCCAUCUAAAGCUAAAUAUUGGUGUGACACCGAUAGUGUACAAGUACCGUGAGGGAAAGAUGCAAAGAACUUUGAAAAGAGAGUUAAAGAGUACCUGAAAUUGUUAAAAGGGAAGCGAAGGAAUCCAGUGUAAAGCGAAGCCAUUCUUCUCAAGCCACUUGUGGUUUGGGCGCUGUGGUUAGCUGUACUAAUUCUGGGCUUGACCUGGGGCAAACGUUCUUUGAGUAGACGACUCUUCGGAGUGAGUGCUCAUUUUUCAUAUCCUGGGUCGGGCUGAGGUCAGUCACUCUGUGCUCGUGAUGAAUUAGGAAAUGGAUUUCUUUACCCCGUCUUGAAACACGGACCAAGGAGUCUAA